CGGCCUCAGAAGACAGCAACACCCAGCAGACAACAGCAGAACCAGAAGAAAGACACCUGAGCCGGCAGGAAGGCAAUAAUUAACUGGAGAGGAAGAGAAUCUGAUGGAAAGAGCAGCCGAGGGACGAAUAAGGAGCAAACUGUAUCCCCUCAGGAUGAACAGAGAUUACAGCGUUUCUUGUGGUAGCCCUCUUCCCUAAAUAAACAAAUUAAAAGCUCUGAGA